rnacentral:piRNA from 1 species
UUACAAAAAGAAAGGGAUGCCAAUAA